UACAGAGGUCCCAAGCGUUGUUCGGAUUCACUGGGCGUAAAGGGUGCGUAGGUGGUGAGGUAAGUCGGAUGUGAAAGCUCCGAGCUCAACUCGGAAAUGGCAUUGGAAACUACCUUGCUCGAGGGUUUGAGGGGGGACUGGAAUACUUGGUGUAGCAGUGAAAUGCGUAGAUAUCAAGUGGAACACCAGUGGCGAAGGCGAGUCCCUGGACAACUCCUGACACUGAGGCACGAAAGCUAGGGGAGCAAACAGG
rnacentral:rRNA from 1 species